CCUGACUAGUAAUCCAUUUUGCCGAUAGUUUAUUGCUACUUUUGAGGAAAGUUGUACUAGCAGUUUGUCCUUUAUUCUAUCUACUUAACCAUAAGUAAAAGUGUAGAAUCAGACAGGCGAUCUUGUAUCAGAAAGGGCACAAAUAUUUCAUUGAAUGCUGCAAAUUUAAGAUUUAUGACUCUACGUUUCCGCUUUUUCAUGAACAUUUGAAGGCAACAUUACCAGAUUGACAAGGUGGGACAGGGUGGGCGUGGAUCGUUGACGGGCUAUUUUGUGUGGCUGUUCCAGGUAAAGAUGAUAAUAUCCUAAGCCCAUUUACGUGUUCAUGUGUUUUAUUUAGGCUCUGGUGAUGUAAAGGAUGACUAUUCAUCUCCUGACACCCGAUCUGCAAGAGAACAGAGCAAAUCUAAAGAGAUCUACCUAUUUGGUGCCUGAAUCAAUCCCCGUGGGAAAACUUCAUCAACCCCCCAGCCAAGUGUUAAGGAAUAAAGCAGGCAAAGUGCAGCGUCCAACCUACUCCAGUUUCCAGGCCAGAAAUUUCUUUGGUCAAGGCGUUUGGUUUGGCAGGAGUGGUACUGACCUACUAAUGCCUCAAGCUACCAUUCUCUUACUUACUCUGGGUAUUAUCCAGAGUAAAAUGUCUAGUUUAAAGACCAUUAAUUACAACCAGCAGUCAUUUAAUUAAACUUCAGGGGCAUGAUUUAUCUUUUUUAUUCAGUUUCCUUCCAUAUCUUUGAGUAAAAGCAACAAUGUUGAGGAAAUUAACAUGAAGUAUACAGUAUUGUACACUAAAGAACUCUUGUUCCACAUGACAGACAGUGCUGUAGUGCUGUCUUAGAUCAGACAAACCACAAACUCCUGACAACUUUUGGC